rnacentral:rRNA from 1 species
GAUCAAGCUACUAAGGGCAGAUGGUGAAUGCCUUGGUGCCAAGAGGCGAGGAAGGACGUAGCAAGCUGCGAUAAGCCGCGGGUAGCCGCAAGCAGGCUCUAAUCCGCGGAUCUCCGAAUGGGACAACCCAGCCGUCUUAAUCGGCGGCUAUCGCCGGAUGAAUUCAUAGUCCGGCGAGGCGACACGGGGUGAAGUGAAACAUCUCAGUAACCCCAGGAAAAGAAAGCGAAGCGAUUCCGUAAGUAGUGGCGAGCGAAAGCGGAACAGCCUAAACCGGGAAGACUUGUCUUCCCGGGGUUGUGGGACCUCCGCAAGGGAGGCGGGAGGCGAGCUUAACCCUUUGGAAAGAGGGGCCAUAGACCGUGACAGCCGGGUGAGCGAAGUCCGACGCCCUCGGGAGGGAUCCCAAGUAGCACGGUGCACGUGAAACUCUGUGCGAAUCCGUCCGGACCACCGGAUAAGGCUAAAUACUCCUUGGCGACCGAUAGUGAACUAGUACCGCGAGGGAAAGGUGAAAAGAACCCCUGUUAGGGGAGUGAAAUAGGACCUGCAACCAUUUGCCUACAAGGUGUGGGAGUCCCGCUUUUGCGGGAUGACCGCUUGCCUUUUGCAUAAUGAGUCUGCGAGUUAUUGUCCGUGGCCAGCCUAAGCGGUUGAGCCGCGCAGGCGAAGGGAAACCGAGUGCGAAACGCGCGUCCAGUCGCGGGCAAUAGACCCGAAGCGGAGGUGAUCUACUUUUGAGCAGGUUGAAGCCUGGGUAACACCAGGUGGAGGACCGAACUCGUGGAUGUUGAAAAAUCCUGAGAUGACUUGAGAGUAGGAGCGAAAGACUAAUCAAACCCCGUGAUAGCUGGUUCUCUCCGAAAUAGCUUGAGGGCUAGCGUUGGGUAAGUACUCCAUGGAGGUAGAGCACUGGAUGGCUUAGGGACCCCACCAGGUUACCAAAACCAAUCAAACUCCGAAUACCAUGGAUCCCGUUAUCCCAGCAUUCAGACGGCGGGGGCUAAGCUCCGUCGUCGAGAGGGCAACAGCCCAGACCGCCAGCUAAGGUGCCCAAAUACCGCUCAGUGGAAAGGAUGUGACGUUGCGGAGACAGUGAGGAUGUUGGCUUAGAGGCAGCCAUCAUUUAAACAGUGCGUAAUAGCUGACUCAUCGAGCGAUGUCGCGCCGAAGAUGAUUGGCGAUAAGCGGUAUACCGAAGCUGCGGAUUUCGUCCCGAUGCGUCGGGGCGGAGUGGUAGGAGAGCGUGACCAGCGCUGUGAAGCCGGACGGGAACGGACGGUGGAGCGCUGGCCAGUGAGAAUGCAGACACGAGUAGCGAUAAACCAGAUGAGAAUUCUGGUCGCCGUAAACCCAAGGUUUCCUGGGGCAGGUUCGUCCUCCCAGGGUUAGUCGGGAGCUAAGACGAGGCCGUAAGGCGUAGUCGAUGCCCAGCAGUUUAAUAUUCCUGCACCGACUCGGGUUAAGGCCGGAGAGGACGCAGAGAGAAACGUGGCUAUGUCAUCGAAAGACGGAGCCUAGGCUUCGGCCGAAGCGCACCACGGGACGAUCUGCCGAGAAAAGUCUCCGGUUGUUCCCCGGGCCGCCCGUACCGCAAACCGACACAGGUGGGUGAGUGUAAAUGCACUCAGGCGCGCGAGAGAAACCUCUCUAAGGAACUCGGCACAUUAGCCCCGUAACUUCGGAAGAAGGGGUGCCUGGAUCGUGGCAGCAAUGUUGCGAAUUCAGGUCUCAGUAAAUUGCGCUGAGCGACUGUUUAACAAAAACACAGCACUCUGCAAAGUCGUGAAGACGACGUAUAGGGUGUGACACGUGACCAAUGCGGAAAGAUUAAGGCAUCUUGUUAGUCCCGCGCGAGCGGGGCGAGGCUCGGUGUCCAAGUCCCCGUGAAUGUCGGCCGUAACUAUAACGGUCCUAAGGCAGCGAAAUUCCUUGUCGGGUAAGUUCCGACCUGCACGA